rnacentral:rRNA from 1 species
GACGAACGCUGGCGGCGUGCCUAAUACAUGCAAGUCGAACGCAUUUUCUUUCACCGUAGCUUGCUACACCGAAAGAAAAUGAGUGGCGAACGGGUGAGUAACACGUGGGUAACCUGCCCAUCAGCGGGGGAUAACACUUGGAAACAGGUGCUAAUACCGCAUAAUUCCAUUUACCGCAUGGUAGAUGGAUGAAAGGCGCUUUUGCGUCACUGAUGGAUGGACCCGCGGUGCAUUAGCUAGUUGGUGGGGUAACGGCCUACCAAGGCUGCGAUGCAUAGCCGACCUGAGAGGGUGAUCGGCCACACUGGGACUGAGACACGGCCCAGACUCCUACGGGAGGCAGCAGUUGGGAAUCUUCGGCAAUGGACGCAAGUCUGACCGAGCAACGCCGCGUGAGUGAAGAAGGUUUUCGGAUCGUAAAACUCUGUUGUUAGAGAAGAACAAGGAUGAGAGUGGAAAGUUCAUCCCUUGACGGUAUCUAACCAGAAAGCCACGGCUAACUACGUG